AGAAAGUGUGAGAAAAAGCCUGAGGCAGGCUGAAGCAGGGAAGAAGAAGAAGAAGACGGGUAGAUGAAAUUACACCUGCGGGUCUGUUAGCUUUAGCAGCCGGAGUAUAGCGGGUUUGUCCCACAACACACCCCAAGGGUCCGUAAGAAAUAAAGAGUGAGUAAACCUCACAUAUCAAAGUUUCUUUUCCCUCGCACUGCCGUUAUUGCUCCUGUGCCUCUCCUUGACAGCCCCGUGAUUCAUUUCCUCCGGCCUGAAAGACGGGAAAUGAAUAGAAAGCUUGGAUAUUGUCAGUCGCUAAAUGGGAAAGCAGUUGCUCGGGAGGCACAAUGCAGAUGGAGGAGAUGAAGCCACGUCCUUCGUCCCCUCCCUGAUGCCUCGGCCUGGUUCCACUCCUGGAGCAGCUGGACACUCUCAGGUGUCGUUUGCUAGCAGAGGAGCCGAACGGCGCUGGAAACAGGCGGUGCUUCUUCGCCUACAGCAAGCUCA
ensembl:lncRNA